CCCGCACAAGCGGUGGAGCAUGUGGUUUAAUUCGACGCAACGCGAAGAACCUUACCAGGGCUUGACAUCCCCUGACCGCGUAUGAAAGUACGUUUUCACCCUCGGGUGACAGGGAGACAGGUGGUGCAUGGUUGUCGUCAGCUCGUGUCGUGAGAUGUUGGGUUAAGUCCCGCAACGAGCGCAACCCCUACGUUUAGUUGCUAACGCGUGAAGGCGAGCACUCUAGACGAACUGCCGUUGACAAAACGGAGGAAGGUGGGAUGACGUCAAAUCAUCAUGCCCCUUAUGUUCUGGGCUACACACGUGCUACAAUGGCCGGUACAGACGGACGCAAAGCCGCGAGGUGGAGCAAAUCCUAAAAAGCCGGUCUCAGUUCGGAUUGCAGGCUGCAAUUCGCCUGCAUGAAGUCGGAAUCGCUAGUAAUCGCAGGUCAGCAUACUGCGGUGAAUACGUUCCCGGGCCUU
rnacentral:rRNA from 1 species